rnacentral:rRNA from 1 species
CUGCAGAAGAAGCACCGGCUAACUCCGUGCCAGCAGCCGCGGUAAUACGGAGGGUGCGAGCGUUAAUCGGAAUUACUGGGCGUAAAGCGCAUGCAGGUGGUUUGUUAAGUCAGAUGUGAAAGCCCGGGGCUCAACCUCGGAAUUGCAUUUGAAACUGGCAAACUAGAGUACUGUAGAGGGGGUAGGAAUUUCAGGUGUAGCGGUGAAAUAGCGUAGAGAUCUGAAGGAAUACCGGUGGCGAAGGCGGCCCCCUCGGACAGAUACUGACACUCAGAUGCGAAAGACGUGGGGAGCAAACAGGAUUAGAUACCCUCGGUAG